rnacentral:rRNA from 1 species
UACAGAGGGGGCAAGCGUUGUUCGGAAUUACUGGGCGUAAAGGGCGCGUAGGCGGCCUGCUAAGUCGAACGUGAAAUCCCUGGGCUCAACCCAGGAACUGCGUCCGAUACUGGUUGGCUUGAAUCCGGGAGAGGGAUGUGGAAUUCCAGGUGUAGCGGUGAAAUGCGUAGAUAUCUGGAGGAACACCGGUGGCGAAGGCGAACAUCCUGGACCGGUAUUGACGCUG